rnacentral:lncRNA from 1 species
GUGAAGUCUACCUGCAAUUAGAGUCAGGGGUGAAGUCCGGCUCCCAUAGUAUUCCGGAUGAAGUUUACCAGCAAUCGGGGUCGAGGACGGAGCCCGGCUCCCGUAGGAGUCCGGGUGAAGCCUUUUUGCAGUCGAAGUUGGAGACGAGAUCCGGCUCCCGUAGGAGCUCGGACAAAGUCUACCUGCAAUCACAGUCAGGGGUGAAGUCUGGCUCCCUUGGGAGUCUGGACGAAGUUUACCAGCAG